rnacentral:rRNA from 1 species
GACGAACGCUGGCGGCGUGCUUAACACAUGCAAGUCGAACGGAAAGGCCCUGCUUUUGUGGGGUGCUCGAGUGGCGAACGGGUGAGUAACACGUGAGUAACCUGCCCUUGACUUUGGGAUAACUUCAGGAAACUGGGGCUAAUACCGGAUAGGAGCUCCUGCUGCAUGGUGGGGGUUGGAAAGUUUCGGCGGUUGGGGAUGGACUCGCGGCUUAUCAGCUUGUUGGUGGGGUAGUGGCUUACCAAGGCUUUGACGGGUAGCCGGCCUGGGAGGGUGACCGGCCCCUUGGGACUGAGAUACGGCCCAGACUCCUACGGGAGGCAGCAGUGGGGAAUAUUGCACAAUGGGCGGAAGCGUGAUGCAGCAACGCCGCGUGCGGGAUGACGGCCUUCGGGUUGUAAACCGCUUUCGCCUGUGACGAAGCGUGAGUGACGGUAAUGGGUAAAGAAGCACCGGCUAACUACGUG